rnacentral:rRNA from 1 species
UACGGAGGGGGCUAGCGUUGUUCGGAAUUACUGGGCGUAAAGCGCACGUAGGCGGACCGGACAGUCAGAGGUGAAAUCCCAGGGCUCAACCUUGGAACUGCCUUUGAAACUAUCGGUCUGGAGUUCGAGAGAGGUGAGUGGAAUUCCGAGUGUAGAGGUGAAAUUCGUAGAUAUUCGGAGGAACACCAGUGGCGAAGGCGGCUCACUGGCUCGAUACUGACGCUGAGGUGCGAAAGCGUGGGGAGCAAACAGG